UACGUAGGGGGCAAGCGUUAUCCGGAUUUACUGGGUGUAAAGGGGGCGCAGACGGCGCGGCAAGCCAGAUGUGAAAGCCCGGGGCCCAUCCCCGGGACGGCAUCAGGAACUGCCAUGCUGGAGUACUGGAGGGGCAGGCGGAAUUCCCGGUGUAGCGGUGAAAUGCGUAGAUAUCGGGAAGAACACCGGUGGCGAAGGCGGCCUGCUGGACAGAUACUGACGUUGAGGCCCGAGAGCGUGGGGAG
rnacentral:rRNA from 1 species